GAGACGGAAGCGGAGGGAGCUUUCUGGCACCACGACCUGCCCGCAAGCCCGGAGGCGCUGGCUUCCUGCUCAACACAGAGCAGUUAACCCGACGACGGUGCGAGCACCUGCUCUGUGGAAGGUGCCAGACCGACGGAGAGGGGAGCUGAUGCCUGCCUUCAAGGAGUAACAAAGUAAUCUGCAUCUGUAGGGCCCUUUGUGCUUAGUGUGAUCUUAAUGCUAAUUUAUUUACAUUUUCUCCCGAAAUGCUAAAUGCAACAAUGAGAGGAAGGAACCGUCCUCCUCAGUUUGCUGGUGACUGAAGAGACUCAGAGAGGGGCGGGGACCUACCCGAGGCCACACAGUGAGAGAGCCAGGGCCUGAAUAGAAGUCUUCUUUUUUCCCUUUUAAUGGAGGUAUCAGGGGUUGCACCCAGGACCUCGUGCAUGCUAAGCAUGCGCUCUGCCCCUGAGCCACACUCAGCCUUUUCACGUCAAGCACAUCAGUGGAUUCCAGGGCCCCUCAAACCCGCCGCCUUAUUUGAAUUUCACACUUGUCUUGGGAGACAGAUGGACAGCUAGCAUCCCGUUUUCAGUUCUGAGGAGUUGGGCCGACUUACUGAGUCUCCUGGGCAGCAGAUGUUGCCGCAGGCCUCAGGCAGCUCCUUGGCACAGACCCUUCUUAGUUGUGUUCCCAUGAUGGACCUCAUGCUUUUGACCACGUUACUUGCCUGCCAAGAAUGCCUAGUUCUUCCGCACUAACCCAAACGCUCCCUGCCCGCCUCUCGGCCCCACCUCCUUGCCAAAGCCCCGGCAGCUCCAGCCCCCACGGGUCCUGUGCUGCUUCUGGGUCUGAGUGUCACGAGCUUCUGGUCAGUGUGGACUGUGAGCCGGCAAGCGUCUGAGCACCAGGGCAUGCUACUCCUACUGUGUACCCCUGGGCACACAGCCGGUGCUCAGCAAAUAUAUAAUGCCAGCAAGAACAAAUUAAGCAAGAUAAACCGUCGACCCGCGGCUGAAGAAAUUUAAAUUGGACCCAAGAGAGCAUUUUCCCUUAGCAGGCUGUCCAGCAUCACAAGUGGUCACACUCCCUGUCUAGACUGUCUUGGGCAGGUGAACCUCAAGACAGGAGGAUGGACCUCAAAAGAUUUCCAAGGCCCCUUCAGCCCUUGGAAACCAUUAAAGGGAAACUCAAGAACACGUCACCCUUCCCCCAUGGUUGUGAUUUGUCCACUUUUAUCUCUCAGGGGUAUUUGAAAUCCCAGAUUGUCACCCUCAGCUACCCAGCAUGCCUCUUGGCACCUUCCCUGCCAGCAUUGUGGGCCUGGGAAUGAGACACACAGUGUCAGCUUGAGCCAAAUGUAAUUAGGAACAUCAAUCUGCUGCCCACAACCCACGUGACACGCUCCCGAGCAGAAAGAAAAUGUUUCUGAUUCCUCACGUGCUGCUGGCUGGCCCGUCUGUCACGUCUCCCCAGUCAGAACAGAGGUCUGGAAGAGCAAGGGCCCUCUCAAAAAACUUGGCUUCCCUUCUUCAAGUGAGGGGCUGGGCCUCGAGGAAACAUGCAGAAAUGUGUGCGUUUUCUGUGGUUGACUGUCUGUGCCACAGGACCUCCCGGCUCCUGUCCCUGGUGACGUGGCCCAUCUGUUUGGAUUCUCCCCAAAGCAGAGUCUGAGAAAGGAGCUGGAUGCAGGUGGUCUGACUGGAAGGUGAUCCCAGAAGGUCACUGCUGGAGCCGAGGGGCUGCUUCCUCGGGGCCGUCUGGGAUGUGUCCGGGGACUGUCUGCCAGGAGUCAGUCAGCGGCGUUCGUCCUUGGGCUCCUCUUCCCCACUGUCUGGGGCUGCACCUUAGGGCGUGGUUCAGCUUGGAGAACGCCCUGGGCACCCUCACCCCCCCAGCUCUACUUGAGGUGGGUGCUACUAGCUCAAGUCUGAGCUCCCUCGGACCCCCACUGAGCCGCGGAAACCAGAGGGAGGAGAAGCGAACGUGUUACAAACUGUGGAGCAAAUGAGUUUGCAGUAGGAGUUCUCGUCUCUUCCAGACUCAUUUAGGUCUCAGUGCUGUGGCCCAUGCUCUGUCCUCAGGCUUAAUGCCUUUGUACACUUUCUCUGCCUGGCAAACUCCCACUUAUCCUUCAAAUCCCAGUUCAAAUGACACUGCCUCUAUGUAGCUUUCCUGACACUACCUCCACAGUUGCCUGGUUCACACCGUUUUAUAAUGAUCAUAAUUAAAUGUAUUUGUCCUGUCUCUUUUGAUGGGCUGUGACCA